UGAGUUGGACCAGAGGGAGUUCAUUUCCUGUUCGGGGUCGGCCUUGAGGGCUGUGCUGCUCCUUCUCCCGGAUUUACUGCAUCUCCUGCUCUGCACGUGCGAUCCCAGGCGGUUUCCGAGCGCUGACCUCGAGCUGCUUCCUGCUGCUUCCCUCUUCAUCGUUUGCCUGUGGAUCCCGCGUGCCAGGGACUCUGCCCCGCACGCCCCGCUUCGCUCCCCGUGUGUCCGGAAGAAAGGGUACCUGCUCCCGGGACUUCUUGCAGCAGAUUUACAGCCAAACACAAGUCCCAGCAGACUUCUAAAGAUGAGUAACAGGGGCCAGAAGUGUGGCAUAGUGAGUAAAGCUGCUGCCUGCAGUGCCAGCCUCCCAUAUGGGUGCCAGCUCAAGGUCCAGAUGCUCUACUUCUGAUCCAGCUCUCUGCUACCACUUCCUGGAGUUGCAAGUAUCUGCAGGUGACCUCAUCUGAGACCACCGAAAGCCAGCCUCGCCCUUGGCCAGCUGUAACGUUACUGGAACAGUAUCUCCUGAUGAAGAAACAUGGGCCUCUGACACAACUGAGAGUCCAGGAAUUGGUCAAACAGAAAUUCAACAGGAAGACGAGGAUGUAGGUGCUCAGUCCAAAAGCCUCAGCCAUCUUGCUCUCUGCUCCUGCAAUCAGCACUACUGACUCUGCCUUCGGAUUAUAUAUGGAAUCCAGUCAUUCCUCAUGACCUUGCUGGGCAAGCUGGGGCAAGCCACUGUGAUCGUGACCUGAGUGGCCUCCAUCCACUCCCCCAUGUGCUAUCCUUCACUUCACAGCUAGCAUAGUUCUUUUAAAAGCCAGGCAGGAGAGAGAAUUCGGUGCCAUGGUUAAGUUGCAGCUUCAGAUGCUCACAUCCCUAUCCGAGUGCCUGAUUCAAGUCCAACCCAGCUUCCUGCUACCACAGCAGGUGAUGGCUCAAAUACUUGGAUCCCUGCCACCCACAUGGGAGACCCAGACUGAGCUCCAGGCUCCUAGCUCCUGCCUGGUCCAGCCAUGGCUGGUGCAGGCACUGAGGAGUGAAGCAGUGAUUGAAAGCACUUCCUCCAUCUUUCUGUCUCUCUGCCUUCUAAAUACAAUGGAAAUAAUUUUUUUAAUUUAAAAAGUUAUGGAAGAUCCCAUUUCUUCCUUGUUCAAAGCCUUGCAAUGGGCACUCCGCAUCCCACCUGCUUUGCCUUACCUCCCAUCUGCAUCCAGGACACUGGUUUGCUGCCUGUGCCCGGAAUGCCCCCUCUGCAUACCGACAUAGCUAAUUCCUUCACCAGCUGCAAGUAUCCGAUCCGAUCCUACUUCUCCAUAAAGCAGUCCCUGAACCUAAAGUUACAACAAACUCCUUCACCCAUGUUCCCCAAACUGUUCUUUGCAGCCUUUUCCCCAUCGCAAGUGGUAUUUUUCCCAGUCUUGCUCUAUAUUGGGCUUCAUUUUUUUAUUUGCCCCCAUUAGAAUGUAUGCUCCUAAGCACAGAUUUAAGCCAGCUUUGUUCACGGGUAGAUCUGAGCACCCAGUAGAGAACUCAGUAUAUAUAUA